rnacentral:rRNA from 1 species
UCCAGACUCCUACGGGAGGCAGCAGUGAGGAAUAUUGGUCAAUGGGCGGGAGCCUGAACCAGCCAAGUCGCGUGAGGGAAGAAGGUACUGAGUAUUGUGAACCUCUUUUGCCAGGGGACAAAGGCGGCCACGGGUGGCCGUAAGAGGGUACCUGGAGAAAAAGCAUCGGCUAACUCCGUGCCAGCAGCCGCGGUAAUACGGAGGAUGCGAGCGUUAUCCGGAUUUAUUGGGUUUAAAGGGUGCGCAGGCGGCGUGUCAAGUCAGCGGUAAAAUGUCGGGGCUCAACCCCGGCCGGCCGUUGAAACUGGCAGUCUCGAGUUGGAGAGAAGUAUGCGGAAUGCGCGGUGUAGCGGUGAAAUGCAUAGAUAUCGCGCAGAACUCCGAUUGCGAAGGCAGCAUGCCGGCUCCACACUGACGCUGAGGCACGAAAGCGUGGGUAUCGAACAGGAUUAGAUACCCCUGUA